CUCAUGCCUGGUGCCUUGGUAGAGGCUGAAAGACUGGACUCAACUGGGACUGUCAACUGGAGUGUCUAUGUGUGGUGUGACUUCUCCAGAAAGGUGGUCUCAGGCUGUGUAGUGGUGGAAGACUAAGUGCACGAAGGCACUGACAUUGAUGAAGAGUAAAGUAUCCAUCACCCUGGAGGAUAUAUCUGCCUACUCAUCAUUUGUUUGCCAUCAACUCUAAGGAGCAUGAUGCUACUUGUUUUGCAUGAUCAUGUCAUGUAAUUUCUACAACAUGCCUUCAAGGUCCUGCGUGGAUUAGGGUUUGGGAUCUGAAAAGAGGAGCCGCACACAAAUGAGAGAAAAAAGACAAUUGACAAUUUUGAAAUGUUGGGGAGCCAGGCGGGCAAGUCCAACUCAAGGAGAGGGACUUCCACUGAUGCUCAGGCCCCUCCAACCUUUUAUUGAUCUGGAAUAACCCUUAGGUAAGGAGAUUUCAAUGACACAGGGAUUAGCUCAUCAGCAGACAAUUUUCAGAAAUAGGCAGAAUAUCUAAUCAACAAUAAUCAACAAGGAUUUACAUAAGUAUCUAAGGAAUUAAGUGAACUAAGGUGGGGAUGAUGCUUCAGCUACCAUUAGCUAAAUUAACUGGGUGAU